rnacentral:misc_RNA from 1 species
GGAAGCCGGUGCAAACCCGGCACGGUCGCGCCACUGUAAUCGCCGCUCCCUGUCAGGAGCGGUCGAGAGUCAGAC